rnacentral:lncRNA from 14 species
GCCGGGGGGCAGCUGGGGGCUGUGGGCACCGAGGGGAGCUGCGGGUCAGGCCUUGGCCCCUGUUCGAGCUGUGGUCUCUCCCGGUGUGUGCAGCUGCGGUUCGAGGUGCUUUGUCUUUUCCCGAAUGUUUGGUUGGUUUGUUGUAGGGUUUCUUUGGGGUUUUUUAAUCAAUUUUAUGUCUUUUAAUGCCUCUACGGCAAAAUGGUUCCCAAAUCUCCACAUUCCUACUUAAAUCUCCAGCCUAAACAUCUGUGUGUUUGUUUGCAGGCCAGCAGUGUUUUCCCAUUCAGUUUCCUGCUUUAAUUCGUUUCUAUAAGUACAUCAAGAGUUGCUGUGUCUUCUCUCGCCCUCCUAAGCUAGAUGUGCUGAGGGAAUUUUGCCUUUUUUAAAGCCUUUUGUAAAGUAAAUCCCGUGGGUAACACCAAGCAGCAAUGGCAAGAAGACUAAAAAUUAGAGAAGAUGCUCUCAGCUUUAUGGAUCUUGGAGAUGCCACAGUUACGCAACAUUUCCCCACCAAACACUGCUGAAUGAUUUCGGGCCCCCUGUGUAAACAUACACAAACAGAAGAGCAGAAUAAUUCCGUGCAGCUGGAAAUUGAUGGCUUCUGCGAGUGGAAAAACUGGUGCACUCAGAUUGCAGCCGCAAUGUGCUAGAAACAUUCGCACAAUGCAAACAGAUGGAAUCGGAUGAAUUAACACACGCUACUUUUGGACACUUCUGGGUAACUAUUAAUAGUUCUCUGCUUUAGAUUAAUGCACAGCAUAUGUCAUGUAACAUCAACUUUGAAUUAUCUGCUAGAAUGUGUCCCAGGCUCAAGAUUUUUUUUUAAGUCCCAAAAUAGUUCUUUUUGAACUCCCUGCCCUCUUCUUCCCAUUAAAUGAUGACCUCAAAU